rnacentral:tRNA from 1 species
GGACCCAUAGCUCAGCGGUGAGAGCAGCCCGCUCAUAACGGGUUGGUCGCAGGUUCGAAUCCUGCUGGGUCCA